rnacentral:rRNA from 1 species
GUGCCAGCCGCCGCGGUAAUACGGAGGGUGCGAGCGUUAAUCGGAAUUACUGGGCGUAAAGCGCAUGCAGGUGGUUUGUUAAGUCAGAUGUGAAAGCCCGGGGCUCAACCUCGGAAUAGCAAUUGAAACUGGCAGACUAGAGUACGGUAGAGGGGGGUAGAAUUUCAGGUGUAGCGGUGAAAUGCGUAGAGAUCUGAAGGAAUACCGGUGGCGAAGGCGGCCCCCUGGACAGAUACUGACACUCAGAUGCGAAAGCGGGGGGAGCAAACAGGAUUAGAAACCCUAGUAGUCC